rnacentral:rRNA from 1 species
AGCGAACGCUGGCGGCAGGCCUAAUACAUGCAAGUCGAGCGCACCUUCGGGUGAGCGGCGGACGGGUGAGUAACGCGUGGGAACGUGCCCUUUGGUACGGGAGAACUGAGGGAAACUUCAGCUAAUACCGUAUGUGCCCUACGGGGGAAAGAUUUAUCGCCAUUGGAGCGGCCCGCGUUGGAUUAGGUAGUUGGUGAGGUAAAGGCUCACCAAGCCUACGAUCCAUAGCUGGUCUGAGAGGAUGAUCAGCCACACUGGGACUGAGACACGGCCCAGACUCCUACGGGAGGCAGCAGUAGGGAAUCUUGCGCAAUGGGCGGAAGCCUGACGCAGCCAUGCCGCGUGAAUGAUGAAGGUCUUAGGAUUGUAAAAUUCUUUCACCGGGGAAGAUAAUGACGGUACCCGGAGAAGAAGCCCCGGCUAGCUUCGUGCCAGCCGCCGCCGUAACAC